GACGAACGCUGGCGGCGUGCUUAACACAUGCAAGUCGAACGGAAAGGCCCUGCUUUUGUGGGGUGCUCGAGUGGCGAACGGGUGAGUAACACGUGAGUAACCUGCCCUUGACUUUGGGAUAACUUCAGGAAACUGGGGCUAAUACCGGAUAGGAGCUCCUGCUGCAUGGUGGGGGUUGGAAAGUUUCGGCGGUUGGGGAUGGACUCGCGGCUUAUCAGCUUGUUGGUGGGGUAGUGGCUUACCAAGGCUUUGACGGGUAGCCGGCCUGGGAGGGUGACCGGCCACAUUGGGCCUGAGAUACGGCCCAGACUCCUACGGGAGGCAGCAGUGGGGAAUAUUGCACAGUGGGCGGAAGCCUGAUGCAGAAACGCCGCGUGCGGGAUGACGGCCUUCGGGUUGUAAACCGCUUUCGCCUGUGACGAAGCGUGAGUGACGGUAAUGGGUAAAGAAGCACCGGCUAACUACGUG
rnacentral:rRNA from 1 species